GAUGAACGCUGGCGGCGUGCCUAAUACAUGCCAGUCGAGCGAACGGACGAGAAGCUUGCUUCUCUGAUGUUAGCGGCGGACGGGUGAGUAACACGUGGAUAACCUACCUAUAAGACUGGGAUAACUUCGGGAAACCGGAGCUAAUACCGGAUGAUAUUUUGAACCGCAUGGUUCAAAAGUGAAAGACGGUCUUGCUGUCACUUAUAGAUGGAUCCGCGCUGCAUUAGCUAGUUGGUAAGGUAACGGCUUACCAAGGCAACGAUGCAUAGCCGACCUGAGAGGGUGAUCGGCCACACUGGAACUGAGACUCGGUCCAGACUCCUACGGGAGGCAGCAGUAGGGAAUCUUCCGCAAUGGGCGAAAGCCUGACGGAGCAACGCCGCGUGAGUGAUGAAGGUCUUCGGAUCGUAAAACUCUGUUAUUAGGGAAGAACAUAUGUGUAAGUAACUGUGCACAUCUUGACGGUACCUAAUCAGAAAGCCACGGCUAACUACGUG
rnacentral:rRNA from 1 species